rnacentral:rRNA from 1 species
UAGAGCCAUGUCUCCUUGGUUCUCACCUGGUUUCCCACUGAAGCUCAGCAGGGUUGAGUCUGGCCAGUACUCGAAUGGAAGACCUCCUGGGGAAAGGUAAGCUUGAU